rnacentral:rRNA from 1 species
AGUGAACGCUGGCGGUAGGCCUAACACAUGCAAGUCGAACGGCAGCACAGUAAGAGCUUGCUCUUACGGGUGGCGAGUGGCGGACGGGUGAGGAAUACAUCGGAAUCUACUUUUUCGUGGGGGAUAACGUAGGGAAACUUACGCUAAUACCGCAUACGACCUACGGGUGAAAGCAGGGGAUCUUCGGACCUUGCGCGAUUGAAUGAGCCGAUGUCGGAUUAGCUAGUUGGCGGGGUAAAGGCCCGCCAAGGCGACGAUCCGUAGCUGGUCUGAGAGGAUGAUCAGCCACACUGGAACUGAGACACGGUCCAGACUCCUACGGGAGGCAGCAGUGGGGAAUAUUGGACAAAGGGCGCAAGCCUGAUCCAGCCAUACCGCGUGGGUGAAGAAGGCCUUCGGGUUGUAAAGCCCUUUUGUUGGGAAAGAAAAGCAGCAGGUUAAUACCCCGCUGUUCUGACGGUACCCAAAGAAUAAGCACCGGCUAACUUCGUG